UCACUGAUAACUCAGUUGGUAGAGUGGGGGACUGUAGGUUGAUAAUUGCAAGCAUCCUUUGGUCGCUGGUUCAAUUCUGGCUCAUAGGA
rnacentral:tRNA from 1 species